GCGGGUGUAGUUUAGUGGUAAAACAGCUGCCUUCCAAGCAGCGGUCGGGAGUUCGAUUCUUCUCACCCGCA
rnacentral:tRNA from 1 species